UCAUACCUGUGUAUUGGUAACAUUUUAGGUGAAGCUGAUUUGUAUAUGUACAAAUGUAUAUUGGUGUUUUUAACUUUUUAUUAAUGCAUGCAAAGUUUGAAAGUUGUGUGUUUUAGUUUUUUAAGUAAAAUAUGUUCUGUUGCUAGUUAAAACUGACUGAUGAAUCACUGCAUCCUGCUCCUUUUGAUAUCAUGAAUAUUAGUUAAUUCAAUGUUGAACAUGAUGUCUACUGUUUAUUUUAUCUUAUUAGGUUGUGCUUCUUUUUCAUUAGAG
rnacentral:lncRNA from 1 species